CACACACAGGACACACAGGUGGGACUCGAACCCCCAACCCUGGAGGUGUGAGACGAACGUGCUAAUAACAUGAAAUAAGUUAAUUCCUGUUCUCACUUACAUUAUAGCAGCUACAAUCUCUCAUUCCCUCACCAGCCCUCUCUUUUCUCUCUCCGUAAUAAGAUCAGAGAUCAGCUGAGUAAAAUUCAGCUUCUCAUGUUACCAAGAAACCGUAAAGCGUAAUCUCCUCUGUCCUGAAGACGUCGAAGGUUUCAGCUUUAUCUCUGAUUGUUACGAAACACUGACACUGUAGACUUAAAUGUUACCUGAAUGUCUCCUUACAUCUCCUAACUUCACCAUGCUCCACAUUACACACAUUUCAAUCUGUUUAUGUAGAGCGUACACCGUACAAGUCCUGGUGAGUGAGCUGUUACUAUAAAAAUGAUAGCUCACAGUACUAGACUGAGAAUUAUUCCGGAGCCUCUGCCGUUCUGUAAUCUGGGAACCUGUGCUAACAUUAAAGGUCUGAGUUGGUAACGUUAACCACCUUCCUCAACUGACUUGGGGUAAAAAUGAUUUAUCCCUGAAAGAAAAAAGUCUCUAAGUUCUUAUAAAGGAGCCGCUGUAUCCGAGAGACACUUUUAGGCAAACACCAGAGACGGAGAACAGCUUUGAGAAGUGCUGAUGGUUUAUUUGUUAAGCAACCUGUCACAUCCAGAGCCUCAUGAAAUUCCUUGUGGAGCACAGACUUCCGCUCCAAGCCCUUCUGCUCACUAUCACCGUCCUACUAUCCAGCUGUAGCAUACUAAAGAGUCUCAUUUGAGCACUAUAUAGACAAGCCACAAACACUCACAUUGCGAAGUCUUGCCGUUCAUUGUCCUUGUUCAUUACUGAGCCAUGUACUCUAUCUGCUUCCUAUUUUGAUAUCUGCUUUGUAUUGUUUAUGUCUGGCUUUUCGUCUGCUACACAUAUACCUGUCUGACCUGUGUCUGUUGACUAUAAUUCUGCCAGAUGAUCUGGAUUUGUUUAAAUAAAGCUCGUAUCAGCUUUCCGAGUUACACGAUCUGGCCUUCCAGUUUAAGAGGUCUCUGACUGUGCCAGAGCCAUGAAAUAUCCAAUCUAGCGUGUUGUUUAGGAAUUAUUAUUUAGUAAGAAAUACUGCAUUGACCAGCUACAUUUUUGCUGCUAACAUUGUACUUAUAAAAAUAUUGUACUGCUGUACUUUCUACCUGUCUGCUACCUCCAUAAGUGCUAUGUCCAUCUAUGUUAAACAGACAGAUAUAUGGUGUAUAUAAAACACGUGUCUGUUUGAUAUAGGUGCGUGUAUACUGACUCCUCAAUGCAGCAAAAUAUGGACAAAAUACUUUUUUCUCUCUGAGUCUUAAUGGGUGUACUCUUUGGAAAUGUCAAAUAUAGAAAUCAAUUACAAUGUUUAUUUUUUUCUUGGAAUAAAGACUGGGGUUUUACAUUAAAUUAAUCUAGACUAAGCUAACACUGAGCAGAUUGGUCAAAUAUAAGACCUACUAAUUAACAGAAAAUAAAUGCUGUCAAUGCAGUAGAACUGAGAAGAAAAGAAAGGUCAAAUAUAAUUAUUCUUUUCGGAUGAGAAUAAUACAUCAAGCCAGCACUCCUGCGUAGCAUUAAAUAAACCAACAUGUCUGUCUGUAAUAGCAGGAUGGCACUUUUUUUUCCUGCCCUUGCUUUGCUCAUUUGAAACAGGAAGUCGUGACUGGACUCUGACAUGUAGCAGAUGGCAGCUGAAGAUUUCAUGGGUCGAGAGAAAUAAAUGUAGCGUCUCCGCUGGUUUAGGAUAAACAGCUCAGUCUCUACUGGUGCUCUGCUCACUGUCAGCUGGAGUGUGUGUUCAGGGGUCACUCCGAGGCCGAGUGUGUAUUCGAGGGUCGCUCCGAGGCGGAGUGUGUGUUCGAGGGUCAUUCCAAGGCCGAGUGUGUGUUCUGUGGUCGCUCUGAAACCGAGUGUGUGUUCAGAGGUCGCUCUGAGGCCGAGUGUGUGUUCAGGGGUCACUCCGAAACUGAGUGUGUGUUCAGGGGUCGCUCCAAGGCCGAGUGUGUGUUCAGGGGUCGCUCCGAGGCCGAGUGUGUGUUCAGGGGUCGCUCCAAUGCGGAGUGUGUGUCCAGGGGUCGCUCCGAGGCCGAGUGUGUGUUCAAAGUUUACUGCCAGCAAAAUUGCGGGUCCAUAGAGCAGUAAAGUCUUAAGAAAUUGUUUGAAAGCCUGGAUUUUGCUGAAAACUCUAUACCAGUUAUACCCUGUGUGAUUUCAGUCAUAUUUGAAGAUUAUUUAUUGUCACACUGUAUAAGUAACACACACACUCUGCACAGUCAGUGUGAGGUCAUCAGGAGCAGCAAGUUUCAUUUUCUUUUUUGUCAUUGGAAGUGGAUUUUAUUUAUGUGGUGAACACAGACAAGCAGAGUGAUACACACAGUCAAACACAUCCCGGUGGGACUUUAGACCAUAUACGCACUCUUAUAAACGCUGCUCAACCAAUCAAAUUAGAGGACCAGAACUAACCGUGGUUAUACAGUGGAUGGUGAGUGUGUCACAUUAUUUAAUCUGAGACCACCAUCUCAACUUGACUAAAGAAUUAUUGAAAAGGUGUGUUUUUUUCUGCAGCAACAAAAUUGGAAAUCCGGUAAAGUCAGCUUAAGUCAGGGCUGAUGUGUUUUGUCCUUUUGGUGAUGUAAUUUUUAAAAAUAAUUGCCAUCAAUUAUAUUUUCCUGAAUCAUCCUUCAUUCAGGGGCAAUGGUAGGGCAGCGGUUAAGGCUCUGGGUUACUGAUCAGAAGGUCGGAGCUUCAAGCCCCAGCACUGCCAGGCUGCCACUGUUGGGCCCUUGAGCAAGGCCCUUAACCCACUCUACUCCAGGGGGCGCUGUAUCAUGGCUGACCGUGUGCUCUGACCCCAACUUCCUGACAUGCUGGGGUAUGUGACCAAUAAAGACUCAUUAUGAUUAUUCUUUGUUUCCUGCCAAAUGUCUUGCCCACCUUAGUGACCAUUUCUGCUAUUAUAACUGAACCAAUUUGGACUAUGUAUUUGAUAUAUAUAUAUAUUCCCCUUGUCUCCUGCCCAUUGUGCCUGUGGCAGUCCUGUAAUGAACUCUUCUCUCACCGAUGUAAAUGACUGCAUGGGUGAGAGGUCAUGGAGUUUGUCUCCAUUUGUCUCUAUAACGAGCACAUCCGUUACACUCUUUCCAAUUUAACCACUUCAGACUACAGCGAUACACCUUAGCCAACACUGAACCAAUGUGAAGUUACAGACUUUAAUUAACGAUACAGUGGCUGUUUGCCAUCAGCAGGAUGAAACUUAUUAGAUCUAGAACCAGUGCCAAGUUCUGAAACUGCUAAUAGAGAAAAUCUGACAUUUGCUAAGGCAAAACAUGAAACAAUUUACUGUGCAGG
ensembl:lncRNA